CCUCGUGUGCUGUGCACCUCGCCGACAAGUCACUGUCCGAGAAUGAAUCAUUUACGUGUUGCCCGUGGGCUGGAAAGCCCCUGGGCCCCAGUGUCCCGUUGUCACAGCCGUGGGUGUGAGGACCAGCGCGGCCCUUCCCUGCUAGCUGUUUUACAGAGUUGCUUUGUCUUCACCAAACAGCAAAUAGGAACCUUGGUGGAAAAAUGGGCAGACGCUAUGAACAAGCCAUUUCAGGAGAGGAACCUUAAAAACUCAUUAGUAAUUUGAGAAAUGCAGCUUAUGUGUACAUGUGAGUAUGAAAUAUCAGCGACAUUUUAUUAGACAGCCCAGGUGAUGGAAGGGAUGUGCCGACGGAGGGAGGGUUUUUAUCCCGUGCUCCUGGGAGUGGAGGAAGCUCCGCCCGUCCUGGCGAGUCAUCUAGCACGACCUAAUCAAAGCGAUGCUGUGUGUCCUCCAAGACGCAGCGUGUCCCUCCAGGACAUACUCCCCGGGAAAUUAUUUUACAGGAUCAUCAAAGAGCCUGCAAGAGGGUGUUCCUCAGAGCGCAUUUGUGGUGACAGAGCUGAAGGCAGCAGGAGUGUCCAUCAAGGGCAGGAUGGCUGGGUUAAAUCUGGUGGACUCCUGCCACGGAGUAAGCACUCUGCAGCAGUUAUGUGACGGGGAACACUGUGCUGCACACCAGAAAUGGGCACACUGUAACUGGCUGUAGUUCAGUUAAAAGAAAAGCUAAAAAAAAAAAAGAAACAGCCAACUGGAUAAACCUCUAGCAACAUGAAUGGAUCCUAAACCGAACUGUUGAAUGU